GUGGGGAAUAUUGGGCAAUGGGGGCAACCCUGACCCAGCGACGCCGCGUGAGGGAAGAAGGCCUUAGGGUCGUAAACCUCUGUUGUGUGGGAAGAAGGAAGUGACGGUACCACACGAGGAAGUCCCGGCUAACUACGUGCCAGCAGCCGCGGUAAUACGUAGGGGACGAGCGUUGUCCGGAAUUACUGGGCGUAAAGGGCGCGUAGGCGGUCAUUUAAGUCAGCUGUGAAAUGGUCCGGCUCAACCGGAUCAUGCGGUUGAAACUGGAUGACUGGAGUGCUGGAGAGGCAAGUGGAAUUCCCAGUGUAGCGGUGAAAUGCGUAGAUAUUGGGAAGAACACCGGUGGCGAAGGCGACUUGCUGGCCAGCAACUGACGCUGAGGCGCGAAAGCCAGGGUAGCGAACGGGAUUAGAUACCCCUGUAGUCC
rnacentral:rRNA from 1 species